UACGGAGGGGGCUAGCGUUGUUCGGAAUUACUGGGCGUAAAGCGCACGUAGGCGGCUUUGCAAGUUAGAGGUGAAAGCCCGGGGCUCAACUCCGGAAUUGCCUUUAAAACUGCAUCGCUAGAAUUGUGGAGAGGUAAGUGGAAUUCCCGGUGUAGCGGUGAAAUGCGUAGAUAGUCGGAGGAACAUCAGUGGCGAAGGCGACCACCUGGCCCCAACACUGACGCUGAGGUGCGAAAGCGUGGGUAGCAAACAGG
rnacentral:rRNA from 1 species